UCUCGUGAUGAUGGCGAAGGGGAAACCCCUGUUUACAUACCGAACACAGAAGUAAAGUCCUUCAGCGCUGAAAGUACUUGGUGGGCAACUGCCUGGGAGGAUAGGACAUCGCGGGGUCUUUUU
rnacentral:rRNA from 1 species